AUUGAACGCUGGCGGCAUGCCUAACACAUGCAAGUCGAACGGAAACGAUGGGAGCUUGCUCCCAGGCGUCGAGUGGCGGACGGGUGAGUAAUGCUUAGGAAUCUACCCAGUAGCGGGGGAUAGCCCGGGGAAACUCGGAUUAAUACCGCAUACGCCCUACGGGGAAAGCAGGGGAUCUUCGGACCUUGCACUAUUGGAUGAGCCUAAGUCGGAUUAGCUUGUUGGUGAGGUAAAGGCUCACCAAGGCGACGAUCCGUAGCUGGUCUGAGAGGACGAUCAGCCACACUGGGACUGAGACACGGCCCAGACUCCUACGGGUGGCUG
rnacentral:rRNA from 1 species